GUUUGCAGGCCAGAGCAAGGAGGAGUGCUGCUUCUGGAGCCUUUCAUCAUUAACUGCUCAUCACUUUGGAGUGCCUCCUAAGGUCAAGAGCAUUUCGUCAGUCAUUCAUCAGCCAAGCACUUGGUGCAUUAUCUGAGGCUGUCUCUCGGGGAAGCCAAGGUCGAGCAGUAAUACACCAGUGAGGUGACCUGCUCAUUACUUCUGGAAACAUGUUUUGUCAAUGAAUGCCCAUUAGUGAGCAUUUAAUUUAGAUUUAAUAAGGUUUCUAAUGUUUAAAAGGACGCUCUACCUUCAAGAUAUUUGUCAUAAUUGGAAGGAGGAUAUUUCCCAGCACUGUUUAUAAAUAAAUCCCUUAGAAGACAGAUAUUGAAAUUAGCUCCUUUAAUACUGGAGGUGCCAGGCAGGGAGGCAAAGCCCUGUGUCUGUUUUGGAUCUGUCUCCAUCUGUGCUUGUUCUGAGAUGUCUGCACAAGGAGCAGAGCCACCUCCCCUGCUCGAAUGGCAGGCGGGGUAUUGGAACAGGAUGCUGACACCACGAAGGAACCAAGUGAUCUUUGCACAACGUGUGCCGUGGAGUAUCAAAGACUCAUCAUCUUUUUAUUUUGCUUUGGAUACGUAAAAGCUCUGAGACUCAAGCAAAUGGGGGGGGAAAAAAAAAGUGCUUUCAUGUUCAUUCUCAGGCAGCGCCCCUGACAGAUUUGUACACCGAAGAAACAGAGUGGUGUCAAGGCUGCAGUUAAAAACGGGACACGGCCAUCAAUUGAGAGCGCACGCUGGAAUACACGAGGAUAUAAAUUCAAGAACUGAGCCAACAGCCCCAUUUGCCUUGGGUUUCUCUGCCGCUCCAGCGCGUCCUCAGUCUCCAGACUGGGGAAAAAGAUGGGGAAGCAUUCCAUAGAUGGGAGUUCCAGUUUUCAUUGAGCUCCCUGUGUCCCACAUUGGGCUCUGCCUUGGGGCGUGGGGGAGGGCUUGCUGCUGCUGCUGUGCUCUCUUAACACAGCAAGGAAUGCGCCUAGAGCCCAGUUUCCCUGCAGGGAUUCACUCUGUUUUCAUCUGUAAGGCACUGUUGCUAAGUGAGGAACCCAUUGUGUGCUAUCAGUCUAUAAACAAAAUAUGAAUUAGCCGAUCUUUAAUUCUAAGAUUAUGUUGCAAAAUAGCAAGGAUUCAUUCAGAAGACCAUUAAGAAGAGUCUUAAAAUGAAAUGAGCUAAUUUCAGGCUGAGCUUUUG
rnacentral:lncRNA from 7 species